AGAUGUUCGUGUAGCUGUCCCUGGUGUCAGGGAGCAGUGUGGCUGGGGCUCAUGCUGGUGUCCCUGCAGCUGCACCCACAGUUGGGUGCGGAGCACGGAAUUCCUCACGGACACAGGCGAGGCAGCAAAAAUAACCCCUGAGAGAAUGGACCGUGUCCUGACCAUUGUUUUAACACUUAGAAACAGCAAGUCGGUAUGAGGGGAAAAUGAGUCAAGGGAAGCACUAUGGUGUAUGACAAAUGGAAAAUAUCCUGCAGGGCAUCUCCAGCACGUGUGAAGUGUUGCUGUUGGCCAUCUCCCUGUGGGCUCUGUGUCACAGUGCCUGGCACAACACCAGCACCUGGUACAAUACCACCACCUGGCACAACACCACCACCAACUGGCACAACCCCAGCACCUGGCACAGCACCAAUAUCCGGCACAACACCACCACCUGGCACUGCACCAACAUCUGGUAGAACAUGAUCACCUGGCACGACACCAUCUGGUACAACACCAGCAUCUGGUACAAUACCAACACCUGGUACAAAAACAACACCUGGCACAAUACCAGCACCUGGCACAACAUCAACACCUGGUACUACACCAGCACCUGGUACAACACCAACAGCUGGUACAACACCAGCACCUGGCACAAACAGCAGCAAUUGGCAGGGUGAGGUCCUCAGCUGGGCCACGGUUGUGGCAGUCAUUGGACAUCAGAGCAAACUCAAAACUUAGAAAAUGAAAAGCAUCACAACUCGAUCUGGAAAGGAGAGGACAGAUUUAGACUUUCUUGGAAUGGCACUUCUCAUUGAUGGGAUGCAACCUCCCCUGCCUGCUAUCUGCUGAGAAAGUGAGCUUAAUGCUAACCUCAGCCCGGGUCCUUAUCUGGCUGAUGCUGGGCGUUCACUCCCUCGCAGCGAUAGCAGUCCUGGCACUGCUCCUCCCUCUCCCCUCCAAGUCUGUAGGGACUGCGCAGAGCUGCACAGCCUCAUUUGCACUGACGUGAAGGAGGCUGGAAAGCCUCGCAGGACAGAUAGGGAGGGUGGGGUGGCAGAAAGACAUCCCUGAGUUAUCCCAUGCACUGUGACGAGCCCCAUCACCAUCCUGUGGGAGGCCGCUCCAACAGCCUGCAAGCAGAGAAGAAAGAACAGUCAGUGUCCACAUGCUGAGAGAAGUGGCCCAGCUAAAGAGCUACUGAAGUUUCAAAGCAAAACGUGCCACCCUUCCCUGCGGUUUUCCCAUGUCCUUCCGCUGCUCGGUGUCCCAUUUGGCACUGAUGUUAGAGGAGAGGCUUCGCUAAAAACCCUCCCCUGCUAAAGGGAGAGAGUGUCCUCCCGCAAACACAGCGCCUCUGCAGAUCCACGUCUUUGAAGGCAGGAAAAUGUCUCGUAUAUUUUUUAAACCCGGAGUGCAACCACCUUCCCGCUGGCCAUGUCAGCACUGCAGCUGCCAACUGAGACUGCGGAUCUGUGAGCCAAACCCUGAGCCAGUUUUCUGCUGCCAGCCCCGACGGCACCCGUGCCGUUACUCCGUCCCAGCACAGUGCUGCCAGCACCCCUGGGCCCACCUCGCCCUGCCAGAAGGCAUAUUGAGCCUGAUGCCCUCCAGCUCACCCACAGCUGACAUGCAGGUUUGCCCAUGAUGACCUACAGCAGGGAGCCUGCUUUAGCAGGGGAAUGGACUCCGUGAUUCUCAGAGGUCCCUUCUAACCCCUCCAAUUCUGUGAUCCCUGAAGAAACAGUUCAGGAGCCCACAGGCUCUUUGAUUUCAAAACUGGCUUCUUACUGCAUUUCUGUGUGCUGUGUGGGGAUUUCCCACCAGGAUCUCCAGGAGCAGCGUGUGGUUCCCACGGCUGGUGCGUUAGGGACUGCAUGGACAGAAGAUCCAAGAGGGCAGUGAGAACCACCACGUGGCACUUGUAAGAUGACAUGGGUCUGAAGAGUGAGUCACAGAGCAAACCCAGCACCUCCCAGUGCAGCCCCACACGGACCCUUCCUCCACCUCCCCAGAGCAAAGCACCCAAUCUGUUGCAUCUCAGAGGAAAGCAGGUGAAACUAGUGGUGUCUGUGGACUCACACAAACAUUCCCUCACCACCACAGUUGUCUGUGUUAUAUGGCAGGCAUGGCAUUCAUGUUUUGAAGGCUGGGUGGUUCUUUGCGGAGCCAGGAGUGGGACCCAGUGAUCCUUUUCUGUCCCCUCAACUCGGGGUGUCCUAUGAUUCUGUGAUCAGGCUGCAAGAAGCCGCGCUCACUGCCACACUCUGUGCUCCCAUCUCCCAUAGCCACCAUGGAAAAGGACAGCAGUAGUGCUCCUGUCACCGCUUAUCAGCAUCCCCGUACCAAGGAGAGCCAGAAAGCACUGGAUUUUGCUUUAAUCAUCUCUCUCCACGGCAUGUGGCCACAGAAAGUCAGACCUGAUCAACCUCAUAGCCCAGGCAGCUGCUGCUGUGCAGCUCUACAAGCAGGGCAGGGUGGGGCAGGGCGAGGGCCGGUGUGGAUCCGGGCCCUUCACACAGUGAUGCAGUGCUGCACAGCGGCGUUCCUGUUGAGGAGCACAGCCACUCACAUCUCCUGUCUGUUUUCUGCCCCAAGAGUUCCCUCUGCACUGGUCUUUGCUGCACCUUCUUUAUUUAUUUAUGGUGUUAGAUGGUUUGGGGGGCUAGCAGCUUGAAGUGUCACACCUCCCAGAAAAGAAUUCAGCCUGAAUCGUGUAUUUUAAUAGCCCAUAUUUACUGUUUCAUUUUCCUCUCCUCCACCUGGAAAAGUUUGCAGAAUUAAUAGGGAUUAACCUUAUUGAUAUAACCCUAUAUAAUAUAACCCUGACAGCUGGGUUCUGUUGGAGUUACUCUUUGGUCAUAUGAAGAUUAAUAGAGAUUGACACCAUUUAAUUCAUUUUCUGUUAAAGGAGAAAAACCAUUAUGUGUGGCAUUCCUCCCAUCUUCUGUUCAGGUCUACAGGUAGGACCCGCUCUGUCUCCAAGUUAAAAUGGUGUGCUCCAGAGCAUGGCAUUUAACUUGAUUCUUUCAACAAGAGUUGCAAAUUGGCAGGGGCAUGGGCUUGAAACCAGAGAUCUGCUCUUCUACCUGUUGGAGGAUCUCAUGUGUCCAUCCUGUUGUCUGUGCCCUGUGCCUUAGGCAUUUGCUUUGUGCCAAAUGCAGCCCAGAGCACCCUGGAGCAGCCCCAUGGCCCAUGCUCAUUGCUACCAGCAGUGGGGUGUAGGUUGCCAAAUUUUUGUUCCUUAUUCAUGUCCCGGAGCAGUGAAUAAUGUCUGCUCAGAGAGAAAAUAUUUCCAGCUAACAAUGCCCCGAAUCCAAUUGUCCCAUAGUGGCUGAAACUACAAGAAGAAUGAAGUCUCCCUGGAAAAGCUGAGGAGGAGAAAAGUGCCAGCAUGGGGCAUGGACAGAUUUUGGCAACCAGCUGGAAGCUGGGGAGCAGUCUGGUUCCCAGGAGGAUGUGGGUACAGGCAGAGAGGCACAGGGAGUGAGCCUGCGCUCCUCGCCAUCAGCUGGGGGCUAUUGCGGAUGGGCAGGUGGGGGCCAAAACUGCAUUUCUGAAAAACCUGCCGUUGUUUCUAACGUGGAGAGCCUUCUUCUGCUUGAGGGGGCAAACAUGAAAGGCAGAUGAGCGGUUUGGAAACUGUCAUUUCAGAGCACGCCUGCUCUGCUGAAGCGUGAGGCAGGAGUGUUGGGAGGUGGCAGCGCCCCGCACUGCACUCACAGCCCCAAAACCGGCACGGCAUCUCCCCCCAAGCACCACUUUUACUUUGACUUUUACAGCGCCGGUGGCAGGUCGUGCAGCUAAAAGCAGCUCGCAUCUUCCAUUAGAGCAUUUUAACAUCAUUAAUCUUUCAGGGAAAUCCUGGCGCACUGCAAGGCACACGCCGGCUAGCAGGUUAAAUCUGUGUGUUUAAGCAGCACCAUUUCACCUUCUCGCUGCAAUGACGUGGCAGUCCUCCUUCCCCGGGAUCUGACAACAUCAGCAAUGGCUUGAGUGCUUCUACUGGGGUGAGGUUAAUGGAAAACCUUCAACAGAGCUCUCCUCCUUUGGAAAAUGAAACUGAAGUUUGCAAAGCUACACCAGAGGGGUGUAUGAGGAAAGAAGAUUUACAAUCAGUGGAGGAAGGUCAGGUUAGGGAACAUUUCAUAGAAUCACAGAAUCAUAGAAUCAUAGGGGUUGGAAUGGGCCUCUGAAGACCAUUGAAUUGAACUAGCUGGACAUACACAAGUCCUUGGGACAUCAUGGGAUGCGCCCACAAGUGCUGAGGAAACUGGCCUAUGUCAGUACAAGGCCACUCUCGAUUAUCUUUGAAAGGUCAGAGUAACCAGAAGAGGCUGCUGAAGAAUAGAAGAAAGAAAACGCUCCUCCAAAAAGUACAAGAUCAAAGAUUUGGGGAGCUACAGGCCAAUUAGCUUGAUUUCAAUCCUGGGAAGGUGCUGAAGCAACUGAUCCUGAAAACCAUUUCCAGACACACAAAGAACAAGAAGGUGACUGCAAGCAGUCAGCAUGGAUUUAUGAAAGGAAAAUUACACUUAAUCAACCUGGUAGUCUUCCACAUUGAGAUGGCUGGCUUGGUAGAUGAUGUAGCUGUUAUUUAUGCAGACUUUAGUAAGGUUUUUGACACUCUCUUACCAACUUCAUGGAUAAGCUGAAGAAGUAUAGGCUAGAUAGACAGUCAGAUGGACUGAAAACUGGAUGAACUGCUGGGCUCAAAGGGAUGUAAUCUGUGGCAAGAGACCAGCAUUGUGCCGGAGGUGUACCCCAGGGGUUAAUACCAGGGCCGAUAUUAUUUAGCAGCUUCAUUAGUGGGCUGGACAACGAGGCAGAGACCACCCACUACAAGAUGGCAGAUGACUGCCAACCUCAACCAUUCUGCAAUUCUGUACCACCCAGCUUAAAACUGAUACGACUUUUAUUCAUUCAAUUUUUGAUACGAAGACUUUUUAGUGAAUGAUGGAACAGCUUUUUAUUGGCAAGGGGGGAUAUCUCGUAUCCUGGACUUCAUCAACUCUCAGCCCAAAUGAAGAAGUCUAUAGGUCUUCACAAGGACUGAACAGUUCUGCUACCAGGUGUACUUAACAGGGCUUGAAAAAUUACCCUGAAAUAAUGGGAAUUCAACAAAACAAACUGUAUUAUUUUCUGGUUGAUGUUUGCAAGAAAAGGAACAAGCCUCCCAAGAAGAAUCUUUUUAAAUUCCACUUUAGAGAAAGCUGUGGAGUGACGGGGAGGGUUUCACAGCUUGUUUGGGACUUCAGCAAAGCCCUGUCUAACCAGCAGCCUCAUGCUCCAGGUUCAGGAGGAAAGGUCGGGCAGAGCUUUGCAGGGAUCACUUUGGCACCUUUGGCAUGUGCUUCCACAGAAGCAUCUAUUCUGUCUCCGAAAUUAUGUAAUUUUUUUGCACAGUAACACAAACUCACACUGAGAGAAAGAGCUGAGGGAGUGAGGGCCGAUGUCGGGAGGUCAGUAGCAGGCAGAACAGAUGCAUGAUUUCAUUCUGAGAGAUCACCUCCCUGUAUGAGCAGCCUCUGAUAUCCCUCCCACCAAAUAUUGGUGGCAGACUGCCUUUCUGGAAAGUGAGCCCACUGCAUAAAGAGGUGAUUUAUCUUCUUCUUUUAGGAGAUGUUUUUACUGGAAGGGCCAAAUACACUCUUUGCUCUUCAAGGUUUUCCAAGCACUGUGACGGAACAUUUCUAAACACACUCCAGCAAAGCCCACCAACACACUCGUUGCUUGGCUGGGAGCACACAGGAGGGUGGACGUGCUCAGCUUCAUGGGCCGUGGGCCCAUUUGGGGCAGCCUGAACCCAGUGGCACCACGGGCACCUUCAUCCAACAGCAACGAGGCUCAGCCAGGGUGCAGCUAAGCUGUAAAUGUUUUUUGACAGGGAACAGCAGUGUGAAGUUCAGUCUUCUGUGCUGCGCUGAAGUCAUCCAAAAUUAUGAUCUACAGCAUCUCCCCACCCACCGACUUGCUACUCCUGGGAUCAGACCACCCAAUGUCUGUUUCUCAGUGUAACACAGACUCCUGUGAUGUGCUGUCCCGACACACUACGGAGCAGAGGGCUUUCCAGCCCGCUACCUUUGCCAUUGUCAGAGACCGGUUAUGGUUAAAGCCCAUGCAAAUAGCUUUCUUUUCUUACUGCUGGAGGUAAACUCAAAAUUUCUGAAGCAGAACUGUGCUGGCAAGGUGCUAAGUAUGAGGAAGGCAGCAAGCAGUGCAUGCACGACAGGAGGUGGCUCUUUGCCAUCAUCUGGCUUUCAGGAUCUGUCCUUCUCCCAGCUGUUGAACAUUCAGGACAAGAUCUGUCCAGGGCACGAACUUAACGCCACAAAGGUGUCAGUGAUGCAGCAAUCCAGUACUGAACAAACUGGGAGGUACAGGAGAAAGUAGAUAGAAGGUAGUUCUAAAAUCCAGGUGCUCAUAGCAGGCAGAUCACAGCCUGUGUCCAUCGGACAUCCCCACUUUCAGGCACAGGGCUCCGUGACGCGACGUGUGAUACAGUCACUCUCGCAUUGUCUGCCCAUGCUCUCUGAUGUUGGAAAAAAAAAAACAACAGAGAAAUCACUUCAAGCUGUGUUAAUGCCUUAAAAGGAAGAAAACAGAAUUAGCAGUUUUUGCGCUGUCAGUUUGCAGAUGAACUUUUUCCCUCCGGUGCCAUACCAGGAGAAAACGUGCUGUGUGUUGUAUCCCCAGCAGGGCUCCAACGGCACAGAAACGCUCCCACAGCGUUUGUGGAGGAGAUGGAAACGUGUGAAUGAGUCUCUUUUCAUGUUAAUGGAUUUAUUCACAUCUCUGGACCAGCAUUGCUGUUUCCUGGUACAAACAGAGCAUCUCAGAACUGGAACUGAACCCAGCAAUAGAUCAGGGCCUGAGCAGGAGCAGGGGAGCUGCGGGCUUCCCCAGUCCCCUCUCAGUUAAAUUCUGCUCUGUCUCCACUGAUUAUCUACAAAAAACACUGCUCUCGAUCUGUGAGGAAGGAAUGAGAACACCUUUACGAGCAGGCCAGAAAUCCAGUCUUGAGCUUUAUGGGAUUUUGACCAUCAUGUCAGCAGCAUCCUUGAGUGUCAAUGAAGAAAGAUAAGGUGGACCUCAUUUAUCUUAAUAGAAAACAGACCAAAUCUAAUAAGCUACUUUAAAAAAUAGCUUUAUUUAAAUUUCUGUUUUAAAUAGAUGGAUAUAAAAUAGCUUAAUAGAGCUUAAUUAUUACACCAUUCAUGUUUAAAUACAAUCUUUAAACCUGACAAUUAAAGUUCGAGUGGUAAAGUUUUACCAAAAGGUCUUUUUCCAUCCUAUCUCCUACUCCUUAUCCUGAUGUUACAGAUAUCAAAACAGGAAGAUUAAAGUGUGCCUCAUGAUCUACAUUCCUUUCUUUCGCUCUUCUUUCAGCAACAAACAGCAGUGGCAGUGUUAAACAAGGUUAUAAUAUCUUGUUUUAUUAAAAGCAUCACCAGUGUCUGAACAUCUGAAAUGAUUAUGUUUUUGUCACAGCACCAGCUGAGCUAUUUCUUGGAUCGGUUUUCAGGUUCCAGAUGAGUUCCCAUGCUCCCAGAUACACACUAGCUCAUUUACAGAAACAAAGAGCAGCCCGGAUGGAUGACUGACUCACCAGACCUACCGGCCAUUCAUCACAGCGUGAUGCUUCCACAGAAGACAUGCCCUGUUUCUUCUUCCCAGCAUAAACCGCUGUGUCAUUGAUACUGACAGUAGUUUCUCAAAGAUGCCUAAAAAAGUUGGGAUUCAGCAUUGAAGCCCUUGGAAAAUUCAAGUUGCAUUUACAUACAGAUGCUUCACUGUGCCUGAUCUUGGUGUUCUGCUUGGACUGUGCUCGUGUGCAUUUUGUGCAAGAGCACUGUGGCAGAAACCAAAAACUUCUCCAAUAUUAGAAUAUAUGUUAUAUAUUAUACAUAUGUAUGCCCUUAUUCAUAAUCUGUAUCAAUUAAGAUCUUCAGCUGGUGAGUUCUGAAAGCUCUCAAGCUACAGGUGCUUCCACAAUCACACUGCCCAGGGCUUCAGUCUGCUUUGCUCUGGAAGAGAACACUGACCUGUAGGCAGGUAGACAGAGUUUCCUUGGCUUUGUUUAAAUUAAGCCUCGCUAAUAAGAGAAAUAGAUUAAAUCAAAUUCUCAUGUUGAGGCUGAAAUAAAAAUGUCAGAGUUACCACCCACUUUCCUUCUGAAUUGUGUUGCAACUUAACAUCUUUAAUUUUAAAUUUAUUAUUGCCUCACUUGCUAUUUUUCCUCUAUGAGACAGAUUUUCAUGAAAUAAUUAACAGUACCUCUGAGAAAAGAAUUGCUAUAAAUGGUUAGGUCUGAUGGAGGGAGGAGAACAGCCUCCAAAAAGUCCAGAUUGUGCUAAUAAACAUGCCAAGAAAAAGUAGGAUCAUCAGACAACAUCAUGUCCAGCCAUCAGGAUUUAUUUCCUCCUUUCCAGAGAAAAAUAAAUGAGUGUAUGAUCUGAUCUUGGAACACUGCCUCCAACUGCUUCAACAUCUAUUCAGAUCUCAAGGUAUGGGGACAGAGUAAAUGUUUCCUUAAUUGUGUACGAUGCAGGGCCUAAUCAAACAUGGCUCUGGCUGCAAUCCUUGCCAUAACACACUCACCCAACGCCACAAGGCACUGCACAUUUCUCCCAGCAGUACAAGAAGAAUCUGACAGUCAGCAUGAAGGAGACGCAUCGUUUAGGAAGGAGUUCUGUGCCCAGACCAGGAAGGCAUAAUACAACGCCUCGGUUUGUCCUGGGUGUAGAGCAGUAUUAUUUAUAGUGCUCCUGUUUAUGUAGCUGAUGGUCACAAAGAACUUCAAUGAACCAGCCUGGAAACUGGUGCUGGAGGUGACUGCAGGGAAGCAUGCAGAAGCACGUCAUGCUCUGAAGAGUGGAUGGUGUCAUCCAAAGCUGCCAACGAAAGCAGUCCCAGCUCCCUCCCAUGGUGCACUUACACAGGGACAAAGAUAAAAGCUUACCUCUUGAUCUUCAAACGCAAAAGGCUUUCCUGGAAGGAAGAGACAGCAGGGGAGAGCCAGCAGACUCCCACAAGAAGGCGUGUUGUGACAAUGUGCAGUGAGGCGUCCAAUAAAGCAUUACAAUGCAUUGGACAACACGAUUAUCCCCAACAUCGCUUCCUGCCAAUAUGUGAAGCUGGUGUUGACUGGAUAGGUUAAAACAAAACUGACAAGUGAACAGGUUUCUGAUGCACUAUUGUAGACUUUAAAAGGCACAGAGAUGCAAUAAAAAACCAGAGCCGAGUUACCUGCUAAUUUCCCCUGACUCUUAAGUACAUGAAGUAUCUCCACGAACAUAAACUGCUGUCAGGUAGUCACAGUGGAACAGCGUGAUUGAGUAUUUCUAGGGGCCUUCUCCUUGACACAGACCCAGAUUUUAAUCAAAGAGCUUGGGUAAAGAGUAAAUGUUGUUUAACCUGGAGAACGAAACCUCCUCGUGUACAGACAGUGUCCAGCUAUGCCAUCUAGACAGCAAGUAUUUCACAGCAAAUUGUUUAUAGCCUACAUCUGCCAGGGGAACAAUUUAAGUACUAACAGCACAGCUUUUUUCUGCAAUGCUUUCCAUUCCCAGACUUCUUUGUAAAGUCUGCAAACAGAGAUGCCAACAUACCCUAUUCUGACCUACAUAGCAAACAAUUGGACCUGUGUUCCUGCUGUGUUAUCAGAAAAAUGAAUCAUUGUCACGUCUUCUCAAUGUCCUGGCAAGACAGGGAAUUUUCUGCUGGGAAGUGUUAGUUGAAUCCCACACCUACUGCUAUCAUGACACCAACUGCAUAUUUUCUGUUUAUCACAGAGAAGAAAAACACCCAGCAGGAAAAGGCUCGGCUUUGAAUUCUGCUUUUUGCCAGUACAAACACGGGAGCAAGUGAAGCACAACUUUGAAAGCUCCAGCUUACUGAGCUCCAGAAGGAAAAAAAAAAUAUCAUCAAUCUUUUUAGAAAAACAGAAUAAAGAUUUUAGAGAAAAACAUUCACCACACCCCAGACAUCUACAUAAUUUGUGCAGAUAGGAGGAGUGGCAGUGGCCACACCAUAGCAUCAUCAUCUGCUAUCUCUGCAUCUGAGAAAAAUGUCAGGGUUGUGUCCUGCUGUUAUUGGAGUCAGAGGAAAAAAACUUGCUGGGAAUGGGGAUUAGGGAUGACAAACAGUUCGCCUUCUCGGGCUUAAGGAUCAGGUAAAACAAACAGAUGACUUCAGAAGCCCCUGGGUCAGCUUGGCAAUGAGAGGUCCCCACUGAAUGAGAAAGAUUAACUUCAGAGGAAGACAUCCAUUCCUACUGGGAGCAAGCAGCUGGCAGCCCUGAGUAUUUAUUGACUCCUGCAGCAAUGGUGGGUGGGUCUGGAAAAGUCUAGGAGAUUCAGACUAGGUGUCUCUGAAUGAAGUCUGCAUUAACCUAUGUGAUUUGAAGCUUCUCUCUUAUCAGCAUUUGGAGCAUAAAAUCAUAUCACUUAUGCCUAACUGCCGCAUACUUGUAACCCUAUACAUGUGGGAUAAAACUAAAUCAAGACAAACAGAGAUGUCUGUAUUCUCCCUUUAUAAUUCAUAAUGAUAAAGGCAAGUUUUUUGCCAGGGCAGGGGUCAGGAACUCGAGAUAGUCUGCUCGAAAAUAAUAAUUCUCUCACCAUUAAGAGAUGCCAUUCAGAGUUUGUCAGACAUCCCCCAAAAUAUUUCUGCUUUCUCCAUCAGAAACCAUGUUUUGUGAGUGACACAGUCUUCACAUGUCACCAUUUACUUGGACAAAAUAUUGACCAUAAAGUGGUGUUGGAAUGCAAGAAAUGCUCCAUCUCUAUUCACAACUCAAUAGCGCUCCCUUUGACCUUUGUUUUGUUUGGAAGAUCCUGAAAGAUAAACACCUUUGUUGUGGGAAUAUAAGCUAGCCAACACGUAGCUCAGCUUUCUUAGCAUUGUUUUCUUGCUUUUCGUUUUUGCAAGUUCUUUAGACGUAGUUCUCUAUGAGGGGCGCUGAGAUCAAUAGUUAAAACCACUGCUUUGGGAAAAGCAUUCUCAUUUCAGUAUGCAACAAAAACUGCCUGCAUCUGAGGAAGGAAAGCACCAGAUAGUUCACUUUAUCACACCAAAGACUCCAACAGCACAAGAGAACAGCAACUUAGUGAACAAACACAGAGAUCUUUUUACUUUGUUAUUUGUCUCCUAGAGGAAAUAUAAAAUUAAUUGCUGCAAAAUACUUCAGAGACUGAGAAUAUUGUCUACACUAAAGGGGGACCUAAAAGCAUUUACUCUAUGUGAGAGAAGGGAGAAAGCCUGGUCCCAUCUAUAAGCACUGGGAUUUCUAGGGUAACUCAGAAUGGUAAUAUUCCACGUUCCUAAGCCAACUGCAAGGCAAAGCCUCUUAAAGAUGGAUUUCAUUGCAGAGCUAGAGUAGCUAAGGUCUUUAGUGUCCCCACAAAAGAGAUUAUGGUGGUUUCAAAUGAGAUCUUCCUUUCCAAGCUCCUGUAUCAAGCAAUUAGAGCAAACACGCUUUUGUUGGGUGUCUAAAGAUAAUUUUCAAAAUAAAGAGGCACAAAUCACCCAAAGAUGUACAAAGACGUACUGUAUUUCUGGAGCCACUAAAUCCCUGAAUCCCAUUUCAGGUUGGAGUCACUGAUGCUUUUUUUUUUGCUUACUGCAGUGGCUAAAUACUCACAGCUACAUAUAUUUAAUUUGUGAUGUCCCUUUCAGGAUGCUCUCUCAAAUCCCAUCCUUUAAUAAAAGCACUGCAUCACUGGGAGGACUACAGAAAAUUAAUGGAAGAAUUUUUUCAAGGAGACAAAGCAUUUUAUUUUUUAUUGACAGUUUGUUAUAUGAAUUUCUUUCCACUAUGGGAUUAUUUUUGAGGAAUAAUAGGAUAGUAAUUACCAUUUAUCUAUGAGACCUAUAUGAAUUCUUCCAGUUCCUCCUCUCAUCCUGAAAAUCUCCAGCAAUAGCUCCUAGAAACGGACUUCAGAAAAUCAAAGUUUAGAUGUAAAUAUAUGGAAAGUACUUAAAUAAUACUGGUUUUCCAUCUAACAAUCCAACGCCUAAUGUAAAGCCCUCUCUGCAGGAACAGCAGUUCCUGCAGUUUUGCUUCUGUCCAACAUAAGAAAAAGAGAUACAGAAUUACAGGAAUUGUUCCACCCUACAGAGUGAGCAAUACGAGUGGGAGCCGAUGCCUUUGUAAUUUGCCGUGCGUUGACUUCCCCCUUGGGGCUGUGAUGAUAAUACCUGCAAGACAUAUUCUGGGAGCUGUUCCAUGCAAGAUGCCAAUAUAGGGCUGCACUGUUUACAUUUACUACAAAUUUGUACGCCCAAGAGAGCUCAGCAUGGGAACAAAAACCCAUCUCUGAAGGCUAUCUGUAAAACAAAUUGAACAUAACGUUCCCUGUAAUAACAGUGCAAAACAGAAAUCUUUUUCAAAGGGUAGUGCCUCAAAGAGUUUCCACCGAAUUUCUGUUUUCUAAUACUACAGAUAGUGUUAGACAGAUGUCUUAGAUGAACAAACUUCUUGAAAAUACGUGUAAGUAUUGGUGAGGCCCACCACGCUUGGUUAAUUGAUCUCCCUGUAGGCCGCAGAAAAGGCACUGUAGGCCAUGGAAAAGGCAGUAUGAAGUGUCAAUCCACACAGGAGAUCAAGCUGUAGGAAGCUGCAGUGCAAUGGGAGUGCAGUGCUCUAGAUACUACCCCACUUCCCUUGAACACAGCUGUAUCACUGCUGGUCCACAGAACGUUAUGGGCCAAAUGAAAAACCAUUGUUUAUCGAUUGGAUCAGAUUAUACACACUGAAAUGGGAUGACCUGCUGGAGAGGAGCUCUGUGGAGAAGAAUCUGGAUGUUCUUGUGGACAACAGGUUGGCCAUGAGCCAGCAGUUUGCCCCUGUGGGAUCCUGGGGUGCAUUAAAAAGAGCAUGGCCAGCAGGUCGAGGGAUUUGAUCCUCCCUUCCUACUCUGCCCCGGUGAGGCCACAUUUGACUACUGUGUCCAGUUCUGGGCUUCCCAGUUCUAAAAAGACAGGGAUCUCCCAGGAGGAGUCCACCAGAGGGCCACAAAGACGAUAAAUGGCCUGGAGCAUCUCUCAUAUGAGAAAAGGCUGAGUAACCCGGGUCUGUUCAGCUCAGGGAGAAGAAGACUGAGAAGGGAUCUGAUAAAUGCAUAUAAAUAUCUAAAGGGAGGUGGGAGGCAAAUGGGUGAGGCCAGGUUCUCCUCGGUGGUGUGCAGCAAUACGACAAUGAGCAAUGGCCUAAACCUUGAACAUAGGAGGUUCAGGUUAGCCUUGUGUGAAUCUAAAUCCUGGUUUGAAUCUUAAUCCUCGUUUUCAAGUAGCCUCGAAUUAUCCAUGGUGUCUGGAAGACUUUUGUACUAGAAGAGAGCCUUAGAGGUAAUUCAGUGAUGAGCAAGAUAGUCUUUGGAACAGUUUUCCAGUGAACAGGCUGGUUUCACUUUAAAAACUUCCUGACUGAUGAUUUAUCACAUCUCAAAAGCAGCUCAGGAUAGAAAUCCUGAACUUGCUUCGGCUGAACUCAUCACAGAGCUGUAAUUAGUUUGUAGGCAAAAUUACUGAAAUAUUCAAGACUUUUUGUCUAUCUUUCCUGCCCCAAAGGCACAUACCUGAACCAAGGUCUCCACAUGGUGCUGUGCGGCCCUGCAGAUGCCACAGCACAGUCGAAGCUAGCUCAGAAGUGUGCAAUAUGCUGCUUUUCUGUCAUGGCAACCUUGUAUUUACUGUCUCCAGUUUUCCUCCAGAUCCAUUUGGAAAUUAAUUUUUAGGCUGUAUUUGAACAUCCUAAUCAGGCUCAUAUGAGAGGCUGUAACUCGGCCAAGCUGGUGAGAGCAGCUUUCAGCUGUGAACAGCAAAGAGAGGGCUACUAGAAGCCCCAGUUAAGUGAGGCAGUGAUUGAAAGUAAGGAUGCGGGGUGAUGGGAAAAAGAGAGAUUUCAAGAAUAUCAAAAAGAUGAAAGCUGCCUGCAAAUGUGUGCAGCCUGGGGAACAAGUGGGAGGAAUUCAUGCUGUCAGUACAGCAACACUGGAACAACAAGAUGAUGGUGAUGGAUGGACACACUCCUCAGGAAAAACAAGGUGGAAAGAGGGGACGAUCUGGGGAUGAAGAGGAUUGCCCUUUUUGUGAAGGAGUGGCUUGGACAUUUGGGUUGGACGGCAGUCUGCCUGAGAGCAUGGCUCAGGAUGAGAAAAGAAGAUGGUAGGAGUGACAAGAUGGUGGGGAUGCAUUACAGUACUGCUGAGCAGGGUGCUAAGGGAAGUCCAGCACUGGAAAAGGCUGUCUGGGAAAGCUGUACAGUCCUCACCCACAGAAGUUUUCAAGACCUGGCCAGACAUGGGCCUGAGCAACUUGGUUGGAGCUCACAGCUAAUCCUACCAGAGCAGGAGGCUGAAUAGGUCCAAAGGUUCCUUUCAACCUGAGUUACCCUGGGAUCUGAAGUCCAAAGGACAGAACCACAAGCAGGUACUGCAGUUUCAAGAUUGAGGCAGACAAAGAGCACCACCUAAGAAGACCCAGCGUUGUGACUGUGUCUCAGCCAAGAGCAUUAUGCACAGCUUCAGAGUCCCACAGAUCCCCAAAGGAAUAGCGGAAUACUAGCAAUUGCAGCAGAACCCACUCCUGAAACUCCUGUGAGCAUCAAAAUCUACAGAAAAGAAAAAAAAAAUCAGCAAAAAAGAAAAGCAAACCUGGCAACAAGUGUGAACUUGAAGUUAAUGUCCCAGAGAGCAUUUUCUCAGGGCAAGGAACUUUGAAAUGUUUCCAAUUUCUCUCACCAAUUAAGAGUCAGGGAAUGUAAGACUGCACUAGAAAGCACUCCCAGCGAGGGGAAGGGGCAGAGGGUCAAAAAUGUGUUUAAUUUACUGAUGUUCCUUACUCUAUGUUGCUGGGGAGGACGCAUGUAUCAGCAACAAGUUUGAGAACUAAAACUUACUGCCUCGCUCUUGCUGAGACAUGGUUUAGAGCCUAUGAGCUUUCAAGUACAGACCGUCUCCACUCUUUUUUUUGACAAACAUCCAACCCUUGUUUUUACUGACCGAAACAUAUUGAUGGCUUCUGACCAUCAUCAGUGCAACAAGGCUGCUGCCCUCAGGAAAUUAGAAUCACAUCAUCCCCCCUGAUUUGCUACAUUCACCCCCUCAAGCCGUUGUCCUCUUCCCACAGGUGGUUUCAUGGCUCUUCCCUCGACUGCAAGCUUUGUCUGACAGAAGCUGACCGGCUGCCCUCCACAGGCUGAUUCACAUUGCCAAUGAGAACUGCUCCUGUAGGCUUUGCUCAGCAGCUGGCCUCCAGUGCCCUGAACCUGCAGGCACCUGAAACAAGCACAUGUGCACUUUCAUUGCUGCAGCCAUGCUUUUACUUCUAGCUUUCCUACUCAGAAGUCGGCCUGCAGCCAGGACAAUUGUUCAGAACUAUUCCCAGAAGGGACAGACAGUCUAAACAGAAACGUGAUGCUGAAAGGCUCUGUAUACAGAGCAACCACGUUUUGCCCUGCCUUUUAAGGAAUUCUAAGCAGCUUCAAUGUCUACGUACAUUUACAAAUAAACCAUUUUGACCCAAACUCGUGUUUCAGAAUCACUCAACUGUAUAAACAAAAUACAAAGUUUAUUGGUAUUUGACUACAGGCAUCUUAUAUCUAAGUGUCAAAAUUGUUGUAGCCUUUCUAUGUGACAUUAAACCAGUGUGAAUAUAGUGCAAGUAGGUAUACACUACCACAGAUGGGCUUCAUGCUUCUGUUUCUGUUAUGCCAUUCUGAGUAUUGCACUGCAAUAAAAUUCAGUUGGAAUAGACCUACAAAGACCAUAGCAUUCAGCCAUCUGACCACAUCAGGGCUAACCAAAUGUUAAAGCACAUUGAGGGCAUUAUCCACGUCUCUUCAACAGAGACAAGCAUAGGGCAUCAACCACCUUCCUAGGAAAGGAGGGCUGUUCCAGUGUUUGACCACGCUCAGGGUAAUGGAAUUUCCCUAACGCCAUCGGUUCCCAGAAGCAGAGCCCAGCGCCUCCCUCUUCUUCCCCUCCUUAGAGAGCUGCAGAGCACUGAGGUCACCUCUCGGCCUCCUCUUUGCCAAACUGAGAAAAGUGGCCUCAGCCCCUCCUCACAGGACAUCCCUUCCAGCCCUGUCACCACCUUUGGUGCCUUCCUCUCAAAGCACCUUCAUGUGGUUUGAAUAUCACAGAGCCCAGAACUGCACACAAUAUUUCAGGUGAGGCUCCACCAAUGCUAAAUAUAGUGAGAGAAUUCCCUCUUGUCUGGCUGGCUAUGCUGCGUGCAAUGAAUCCCCCAAAAUACAUUUACUCCCUUGACUAGCAGGGGGCGCUGCUGGCUCACGCUGAGCCUGCUGCCAUCAGCACCCCGGGCUCCGCUCGCUGAGCUGCUCUCCAGCCACCCAUCUCCACGUGUACCCGAGUCGAGCACUGCUCUGUACCAGCUGCAGAAUUCAGCAUUUUCCUUCGUAGAACAUCAUGCUGUUGAUGGCUGGUUGCCCAGUGCUCGGUUCCAACGUGUCUGCUUUAGGCUCCUCAUCCCUUCAGAGGGCCAGCAGCACCUUCCACUUCAGCAUUCUCAGUAGGUUUGCUGUUGCUACACCUACUCCCCAGAUAUGUAAGACCUUCAGUAAAUUCUCGAGGGGUCCUUCGCUCUGGAGUGAACCCUGUCAGGUCCUACAAACUAUGAACACUGUGCUGAUGCAACUAUUCUCUUACACUUUUAGUGACUACAGAUCAUGCUCCCUCAGUCAUGACUCAUGUCCCUCCAGCUCACAGGGCCAGCAACCCAAGAACUAUCAUUAAUACUAUAAGCUGGGGCAAAAAGUGGAUUAGAUGUCUCUGCUUUUUCCUCAUUCCAAUUUGUUAGGUAACUAUCUUCAUCAAGUAUCAGUCCAACGUUUUCCUUAGGUCUCCUCUCGCUGUUGACACACUUAAAAAAUCCUUUUUUGUUAUCAGAUACCACAAUGGCCAGUGUCAACUCCAGUUGAGCUUUGGCUUCUCUUAUUUUCUCCCUACAACUGUGAACUGUAGCUCUUUAAUCUCCCUGUGAAGCCUGACCUUGCUUCCAGAGACCACAGGCUAUUUUUCUGCCCACGUUCCAAAAGGAGUUCCCUGUUCAGCAAAGCUGAUAUUCUCUUCUACUUGCUUGACACAAUGGGAUUGUUUGCUCCCGUGUUUUUAAAAGGUGGUUCUUAAGAAAUGAGCAGCUCUCACAGAGCUCCUGAACUCUCUAAAGCAGAUUGCCAGGGGAUGCUGCUAACUGGCUCUCUGAGAAGCUUAAAGUUUGCUCUCGUAAGAUCCAGGGUGGUAACUCUGCUGACCUCUUUUGAACUCAGCUGUUUAAUGAUCACUGUGGCCAAGACAGGCACCUACCGUCACACCUCCCACAAGUCUUUCCUUAUGCUCAGAAGACAGUUCUAGGAGGGCACCUUUCCUGGCUGUCUAAGCACUUGUGACAAGAAGUUACCCUUGGUGUGCUUUAGGAGUUUCGCAGACUUGCUUGUUGCAGUACUAAAAUAUUCCCAGUUUAUAUCUGAGAAGUUUAAGUCUCCCGAAAGGAUGAGAGUUACUGAUCCAGAGAUUUCUCUUAAUUGCUUGUGGAAUACCUCAUCUCUGUCACCACGGAUGGGUGACUGAUAGCAGAAACCCACAACAAAAUCUGUUUGCUAUCCAUCCCCUUAAUCCUUGCCAGAGGCUCUCUACCACAUCAUCUCUAUGCGGGGAUCCCUGUUACCCAUUCUAUUUAACAGGAAAAGAGACAACUCACAAGUACUCAAGUGUCACCCUAAUCUUCAAAAGCUUCAAAAAGCUUCCAAGUGUACUUCUCAGGAAACAAAAGAAAACAUAUCUAGGUUCUAUAAAAUUUAAGUUAGCAACAGACUGCUUACUGCAUCUAUGCCAAGCUUGCGAUGAAAAGGUUUGUGUUAGCACCAAUAAUAAGUUACAGUAAACUUCAUCCAGCCUCCAAAGAAGUUCAUACAGUAGCACACAGAUUUAAGUAGAAAGCUAAGUUUGAAUUUCAAGGCUUAAGGAGGUUAAUACAAGAAUUAGUUCCUGUGACUAAGAUAAUAAAUCCACACGUCAUCCUUUGAUAAAACAUUUAUAAGUGUGAGAUGGACACAUAUGAAUAUUAUUUUAAAAUUCAAAUAAAUUAAUAGAGCAUUGAUCUGUCCCUCAAAUUCUGUCUAGACUGUUAACUGCUGAACAAUACUUCUCCUUACCCAGCAGUGCUUUUACAAAUACUUUGGAAUUACACGUUACUGCCUAUAUGAUCUCUAAUAAAUAUAUCUCAGGGAAAAGAGACACGCUUUUCAAAUGAUAAUACCAGUUCUGACAAAAAAAAGAAGAAAGCCCACAACAAAGCAUAUACCAGUACAGCAUUAAAGAAUCUAAAAACAUUGAAAAUGAAACAGUUAUCAGAAACAUGAAUAUUGCAUCUGUAUGACAAUCUCUGAUUUACAGUAAUUCUUGUACAGUACUUCUUUAAGAGUCAAAACAACAGUCUGUGUAAUUGUUCUUAUCAUGCUUGCCAUUUAGUUUUAAUGCAUCAGUGGCACAAACUGGGCAGGCAGAAUAAUCAUAAAUCUACCUGAAAAUCUGUAAUUUGUCUGCCCUCAUUCCAUUUCUCGUUCUGUCUUCAUUCCUUCCAGCCCUCUCAGUACUCCUCCAAAAACACUCUCUUGUGGUAUAAGCACAGAGAACUCGAUGCUUUCUUCAAGACAAUGAGAAAAGUUGACUCGUGCUGGCCUGAAUCUAGCUGAUCUGAAACAUGGACAGUCAGCACCCCACUGAAUAUCUGAAAAAUAAGACAGGACUGUGGACUCAAGUGUGGUAUAGGAUUCCCUGUGGAAUCCCACAAAGGACAAAGAGAGAAGCAGAGAUAGUGAGAGGAAGGUUUUGGUGCUGUCCAGUAGGCAGCAACUUUCAGGAGAGUUGAUAAGGCCAGAGGGGCACCAAAAAAAGUCCCCUACUGGAACCUGAAAUACAAGCUUAAAUUGAAGUUGAAGGCAAAAUGAGAAACAUAAGCAGAUAAGUAUGAGUGGGAACAAGCCCUGUGUGUAU